rnacentral:hammerhead_ribozyme from 1 species
AUCUAGCUGACGGGUUCCAAAUAAGACAAAACAUGCGUCCUGGAU